UACGGAGGGAGCUAGCGUUGUUCGGAUAUACUGGGCGUAAAGCGCACGUAGGCGGCGUCGUAAGUCAGGGGUGAAAUCCCGGAGCUCAACUCCGGAACUGCCCUUGAAACUGCAAUGCUAGAAUCUUGGAGAGGCGAGUGGAAUUCCGAGUGUAGAGGUGAAAUUCGUAGAUAUUCGGAAGAACACCAGUGGCGAAGGCGACUCGCUGGACAAGUAUUGACGCUGAGGUGCGAAAGCGUGAGGAGCAAACAGG
rnacentral:rRNA from 1 species